CCUGUCCCCUCGCAGUGCUCAUGGCUGAUGUGUGUAAGCAGAAAAUCUCAAUACGUGUGCACAUAUCCAGGUCACCUAUGAAUAGGGGGUGAUGGAUGGGCCGUGAAAGAGGAGUAAACAUGAGAUGACAGCAGCGCGUCAGCAUGCUUAAGGCAUAUGUAAGGGAGGACAGCAGCUUGCAUGCUACACAUGCCCACACUCACUCAUCGGACUACCCACAAUCCUCCCUGCGUGCGAGUGUGUGUGUGUGUGUGUGUGUGUGUGUGUGUGUGUGUGUGUGUGUGUGUGUGUGUGUGUGUGUGUGUAGGGCAGCCGGCACCUGGGCAGAGGCUCAGUGGAGCUCUCCAAACACAGCUGUUCUCCAGAACCCAGAGCCACGCCGGCGCCGGCAGGGGUACACGCCGAGCCAUGUUGGGCCUGGAAUACUGCCGCCGCCGCAGCCGAUCGGACUCGCGGAGAAUGCUUGUCUGGCAGUGGAUCCGCGUGCCGACGGUAAUUCCACCUGUCUCUCUCUGGCGCGAUCAUCCGUUACGGGAUAGGGGUUUGGAAAGGCAUGUAUUUGGUAGUUGG
ensembl:lncRNA